rnacentral:rRNA from 1 species
UACGGGGGGGGCAAGCGUUGUUCGGAAUUACUGGGCGUAAAGGGCUCGUAGGCGGCCAACUAAGUCGGAUGUGAAAUCCCCAGGCUUAACCUGGGAACUGCAUCCGAUACUGUCGUGACUAGAGUCCAGUAGGGGAGCGUGGAAUUCCUGGUGUAGCGGUGAAAUGCGCAGAUAUCAGGAGGAACACCAGCGGCGAAGGCGGCGCUCUGGGCUGGAACUGACGCUGAGGAGCGAAAGCGUGGGGAGCGAACAGG